AAAAACAUAGCCUUAUGAACUUGGAGAUAUAAGGUGAUUUCUGCCCAGUGAGAGAUUAAACGGCCGCGGUAGUUUGACCGUGCUAAGGUAGCGCAAUCAUGUGCCCUUUAAUUGGGGGAUCGUAUGAAUGAAUUUAUGGGGGUAAUCUGUCUCUUACCUACUUAUUGAAAUUUAUUUUUAGGUGAAAAAGCCUGGAUUAGUAAUUAAGACAGAAAGACCCUAGAAGCUUGGCUUUUAUCUUUGUAUUUAGAGGGUUAGACGUUUAAUUGGGGCGAUGAAUAAUAAUAAACGUAAUCUAAUAUUAAGGAUUACAGUCCGUUUAAAUUAGCUAAGAGCAUAUGAGUAAGCUACUCUAGGGAUAACAGGCUAGUUUCCCUCACGAGAACGUAUCAACGGGGAAGUUCGGCACCUCGAUGUUGGCUUAGGAUUCCUACAGGGCGCAGGAGCUCUAUAAGGUGGUUUGUUCAACCAUUAAAUUCCUACAUGA
rnacentral:rRNA from 1 species